rnacentral:rRNA from 1 species
GACGAACGCUGGCGGCGUGCUUAACACAUGCAAGUCGAACGGAAAGGCCCUGCUUUUGUGGGGUGCUCGAGUGGCGAACGGGUGAGUAACACGUGAGUAACCUGCCCUUGACUUUGGGAUAACUUCAGGAAACUGGGGCUAAUACCGGAUAGGAGCUCCUGCUGCAUGGUGGGGGUUGGAAAGUUUCGGCGGUUGGGGAUGGACUCGCGGCUUAUCAGCUUGUUGGUGGGGUAGUGGCUUACCAAGGCUUUGACGGGUAGCCGGCCUGAGAGGGUGACCGGCCACAUUGGGACUGAGAGACGGCACAGACUCCUACGGGAGGCAGAAGUGGGGAAUAUUGCACAAUGGGCGGAAGCCUGAUGCAGCAACGCCGCGUGCGGGAUGACGGCCUUCGGGUUGUAAACCGCUUUCGCCUGUGACGAAGCGUGAGUGACGGUAAUGGGUAAAGAAGCACCGGCUAACUACGUG